GACGAACGCUGGCGGCGUGCUUAACACAUGCAAGUCGAACGGAAAGGCCCUGCUUUUGUGGGGUGCUCGAGUGGCGAACGGGUGAGUAACACGUGAGUAACCUCCCCUUGACUUUGUGAUAACUUCAGGAAACUGGGGCUAAUACCGGAUAGGAGCUCCUGCUGCAUGUUGGGGGUUGGAAAAUUUCGGCGGUUGGGGAUGUACUCGAGGCUUAUCAGCUUGUUGGUGGUGUAGUGGCUUACCAAGGCUUUGACGGGUAGCCGGCCUGAGAGGGUGACCGGCCACAUUGGGACUGAGAUACGGCCCAGACUCCUACGGGAGGCAGCAGUGGGGAAUAUUGCACAAUGGGCGGAAGCCUGAUGCAGCAACGCCGCGUGCGGGAUGACGGCCUUCGGGUUGUAAACCGCUUUCGCCUGUGACGAAGAGUGAGUGACGGUAAUGGGUAAAGAAGCACCGGCUAACUACGUG
rnacentral:rRNA from 1 species